rnacentral:rRNA from 1 species
ACGAACGCUGGCGGCAUGCCUAACACCUGCAAGUCGAACGAGACCUUCGGGUCUAGUGGCGCACGGGUGCGUAACGCGUGGGAACCUGCCCUUAGGUUCGGAAUAACUCCCCGAAAGGGGUGCUAAUACCGGAUAAUGUCUUCGGACCAAAGAUUUAUCGCCUUUGGAUGGGCCCGCGUUGGAUUAGCUAGUUGGUAGGGUAAAAGCCUACCAAGGCGACGAUCCGUAGCUGGUCUGAGAGGAUGAUCAGCCACACUGGGACUGAGACACGGCCCAGACUCCUACGGGAGGCAGCAGUGGGGAAUAUUGGACAAUGGGCGAAAGCCUGAUCCAGCAAUGCCGCGUGAGUGAUGAAGGCCUUAGGGCUGUAAAGCUCUUUUACCCGGGAUGAUAAUGACAGUACCGGGAGAAUAAGCUCCGGCUAACUCCGUG